rnacentral:rRNA from 1 species
GAUGAACGCUGGCGGCGUGCCUAAUACAUGCAAGUCGAGCGAACAGACGAGGAGCUUGCUCCUCUGACGUUAGCGGCGGACGGGUGAGUAACACGUGGAUAACCUACCUAUAAGACUGGGAUAACUUCGGGAAACCGGAGCUAAUACCGGAUAAUAUAUUGAACCGCAUGGUUCAAUAGUGAAAGACGGUUUUGCUGUCACUUAUAGAUGGAUCCGCGCCGCAUUAGCUAGUUGGUAAGGUAACGGCUUACCAAGGCGACGAUGCGUAGCCGACCUGAGAGGGUGAUCGGCCACACUGGAACUGAGACACGGUCCAGACUCCUACGGGAGGCGGCAGUAGGGAAUCUUCCGCAAUGGGCGAAAGCCUGACGGAGCAACGCCGCGUGAGUGAUGAAGGUCUUCGGAUCGUAAAACUCUGUUAUUAGGGAAGAACAAAUGUGUAAGUAACUAUGCACGUCUUGACGGUACCUAAGCAGAAAGCCACGGCUAACUACGU